rnacentral:misc_RNA from 1 species
GAUGAUAUAUUCUGAAGUUGGUAUUUGUUUUUUGGUAAUAUCUUCUGGAAUCAGAAAUUUUGGAGACGAGUAACAUUCCGAUAUCAUUUUUGUAUCACAGCUCCAACUCAAGUCUUUUUAAGGGAAAUAAAUUCAUGUUUAUUCUUUCCAGUGGAUUUGAGGACUCGUUCAGUUAUUGAAAAAACACAAACAUAUAUAUACUG